rnacentral:tRNA from 1 species
UCCAGGGUAGCUCAGCGGUAGAGCGCUCGACUGUUAAUCGAGUGGUCGUCGGUUCGAAUCCGACCCCUGGAG